CUAAUACAUGCAAGUCGAACGCUUUGUGCUUAAUUGAUAUGACGAGCUUGCUCUGAUUUGAUUUUUUGAUUUCAAAGAGUGGCGAACGGGUGAGUAACACGUGGGUAACCUACCUCUUAGCAGGGGAUAACAUUUGGAAACAAGUGCUAAUACCGUAUAAUACCAACAACCGCAUGGUUGUUGGUUGAAAGAUGGUUCUGCUAUCACUAAGAGAUGGACCCGCGGUGCAUUAGCUAGUUGGUAAGGUAAUGGCUUACCAAGGCAAUGAUGCAUAGCCGAGUUGAGAGACUGAUCGGCCACAAUGGGACUGAGACACGGCCCAUACUCCUACGGGAGGCAGCAGUAGGGAAUCUUCCACAAUGGGCGCAAGCCUGAUGGAGCAACGCCGCGUGUGUGAUGAAGGGUUUCGGCUCGUAAAACACUGUUAUAAGAGAAGAACGGCACUGAGAGUAACUGUUCAGUGUGUGACGGUAUCUUACCAGAAAGGAACGGCUAAAUACGUGCCAGCAGCCGCGGUAAUACGUAUGUUCCAAGCGUUAUCCGGAUUUAUUGGGCGUAAAGCGAGCGCAGACGGUUAUUUAAGUCUGAAGUGAAAGCCCUCAGCUCAACUGAGGAAUUGCUUUGGAAACUGGAUGACUUGAGUGCAGUAGAGGAAAGUGGAACUCCAUGUGUAGCGGUGAAAUGCGUAGAUAUAUGGAAGAACACCAGUGGCGAAGGCGGCUUUCUGGACUGUAACUGACGUUGAGGCUCGAAAGUGU
rnacentral:rRNA from 1 species